CCUACGGGAGGCAGCAGUGGGGAAUAUUGGGCAAUGGACGCAAGUCUGACCCAGCAACGCCGCGUGAAGGAAGAAGGCUUUCGGGUUGUCAACUUCUUUUAAGGGGGAAGAGCAGAAGACGGUACCCCUUGAAUAAGCCACGGCUAACUACGUGCCAGCAGCCGCGGGAAUACGUGGGUGGCAAGCGUUGUCCGGAUUUACUGGGUUUAAAGGGCGUGCAGCCGGAGAGACAAGUCAGAUGUGAAAUCCACGGGCUCAACCCGUGAACUGCAUUUGAAACUGUUUCCCUUGAGUGUCGGAGAGGUAAGCGGAAUUCCUUGUGUAGCGGUGAAAUGCGUAGAUAGAAGGAAGAACACCAGUGGCGAAGGCGGAUUACUGGACGAUAACUGACGGUGAGGUGCGAAAGCGUGGGGAGCAAACAGGAUUAGAUACCCCGGUAGUC
rnacentral:rRNA from 1 species